GAAUUUCACCGGCGACGAUGGCUUUGAACAAUCCGCGAAGAACACGGAGAUAUC
rnacentral:sRNA from 1 species